GAAGGUGGGACGACGUCAAGUCAUCAUGGCCCUUACGUGUGGGGCUACACACGUGCAUACAAUGGCGCAUACAGAGUGCUGCGAACCUGCGAGGGUAAGCGAAUCACUUAAAGUGCGUCGUAGUCCGGAUUGGAGUCUGCAACUCGACUUCCAUGAAGUCGGAAUCGCUAGUAAUCGCAGAUCAGCAUGCUACGGUGAAUACGUUCCCGGGUAUUGUACACACCGCCCGUCACACCACGAGAGUUUGUAACACCCGAAGCCGGUGGUGUAACCAUUUGGAGCUAGCCGUCGAAGGUGGGACAAAUGAUUGGGGUGAAGUCGUAACAAGGUAACCG
rnacentral:rRNA from 1 species